rnacentral:lncRNA from 1 species
GAAUACUUCCUACUGGGACUUUAAAGAUUGUAUUACUCAAAUGGGACAUUUUUUGCUAUAAAGUCACAUUUUGCUCAUACACUGUUUGAAAAAAUAAUGUUACUAUCUAUACAUUGAAACUGUCAGAUACCUCACCCUUUUUGACUUCAGCAAUUACUAGGAAAGGGUCUAUUCACAGAAUAUGGGAGAACAGGAAGAAAUAAAAAAUUAUG